CUAGCCACCGCACGCCCACGAGAGCACAGUGCCCCGACCGGCUCUGUCUGUCCCCCGUCCCCUUCCUCCUCCCCCUUGGCGCCAUCUUCUGCUCUGUCCUAAUCCUCCUCUCUCUCCCGUCACCUCCGAGGCUCACGAACACGCUGUGCCAUGACAAAGCAUUUCGGCUAGACCCUCAGGGCGACUCUCGGCCACGGCAUCUUCGCUGCGGCUAUAAAAGCCAUGCCUUCGCCCUCCUGAGCUUUCCACCAGCCUCUCCACAUCCCCUAGCCCCCCGUGACCUCUCCAAUCAGCUCGAGGAGCUCUCCUCGCCCCCUAUUGCCGCUAGGACCGCUGCACCCCCUCCAAAAUUGGCGCAAUGGAAACCCUCUCCCACCUUCUCUCCACCUCUAGAGGAUCCACACGAGCGCCCUCGUGCGUCUCCUCCUUUACCCUCGUCCUCUGGAGUGCCUGACCUCUGAGUCCACCGGUGCCCGAUGCUGGCGUCUGCUGCAGCCGCAACCAUGCUAUCCUCUGACAUCUCUGGUGUGCGUGAGUGGUCCAAGCGGGUGCACCUUGGCUUCCUAAGCAUGUCGGUGAUGUGAGCUCGGUCGGAGGUGCCCGUGCUACCGCAGGUCGCCGUCGGAGCGCGCGACUACUCUCUGUCUCGCGGGCGAGCAAGAGAAGGAAGAAGAACACCUGACCGGCGCCCCCAUCCCUGCGAAUCCCACGUGUCAACCGCUGAGACGUUGAUCCCGGACCCGCUAACGUGGAUAAGUGAAAGCGCAUUUCACGUUUCACGUUUUCUACUUUGAAAGCGUAUUUACCUUCGGUUUACAACGGAAGUAUGUUUUGUUUGCACGAAAGUAUAUUUUCGCAGAGGGCGGUUUCUGUUUUUCAGCCACGGGCCUGUUUGUGAGGAUCUUUUUGUAGAAUAAUCCAUGAGCUUCAUCCAUCCAUAUCUUCGCGACCAUAACUCCGAUUCAGCCUCCUUCGAGAGAGAAGUGUUUCCGGCGAAUCUUUCCGCGACAUCAUCGCACUUCUUUCCGAUGGUUCCUUCAUCCCGAGGCAAGCCACCACAGCCACUUGCAUGAUGGUGGCAUCAGUUUUCGUCCACUACCUGCACCAACCAGCUUUGCAUACCUGGUUUUUGGUGUUCGACGUCAUAUCUGUCCCAACGAAGUGGUGCCCAGAUACCUAGUGUUCCAGACACCAUUUGCAGGAGUUAUGCUCGAGUAUCGCGUCGUUAUCUUUCUGUCAGCCACACCUAUCGUUUCGGUGAUAGACAUGUUUCUAUCCCAAAUCGUGCCAUCCAACAUGCCGUGUUGGCAACCCUUACUGAUCUUUGCUAUAAGGAAAGUGCAAUGCCAACAAGCCUUGUUUUUCACCGCUAUCCUACCUUGUCACCCAUUUUGUGGACGUGUAUGGCUCCCUUCCGUCCGCUUGAUGAUGAUGUGGUCGUGCGUCCGUGUCUUGCUACAUGAUCACCAAGUUUGUCCUCAUCCUUGAGCCCGUACAGAUGCAACUGGUGUUAAGCCAACGCUAUGUGUAGCUUUGUUUGCACCAACUCCUUUCACGCACACCGCAAAAACAUAUUAGAUUGUAGAACCGAAGUUCUUGUGAGGUUUGUGUGCUUAAGUAUAUGUGCAUACUAUUGUUGUGAAUAACAGUAAGAGAUGAUGUUGCUUGAAUACGGUAUUAUUUGUA